CGGCGAGCGAACGGGGAGCAGCCCAGAGCCUGAAUCAGUGUGUGUGUUAGUGGAAGCGUCUGGAAAGGCGCGUGAUACAGGGUGACAGCCCCGUACACAAAAAUGCACAUGCUGUGAGCUCGAUGAGUAGGGCGGGACACGUGGUAUCCUGUCUGAAUAUGGGGGGACCAUCCUCCAAGGCUAAAUACUCCUGACUGACCGAUAGUGAACCAGUACCGUGAGGGAAAGGCGAAAAGAACCCCGGCGAGGGGAGUGAAAAAGAACCUGAAACCGUGUACGUACAAGCAGUGGGAGCACGCUUAGGCGUGUGACUGCGUACCUUUUGUAUAAUGGGUCAGCGACUUAUAUUCUGUAGCAAGGUUAACCGAAUAGGGGAGCCGAAGGGAAACCGAGUCUUAACUGGGCGUUAAGUUGCAGGGUAUAGACCCGAAACCCGGUGAUCUAGCCAUGGGCAGGUUGAAGGUUGGGUAACACUAACUGGAGGACCGAACCGACUAAUGUUGAAAAAUUAGCGGAUGACUUGUGGCUGGGGGUGAAAGGCCAAUCAAACCGGGAGAUAGCUGGUUCUCCCCGAAAGCUAUUUAGGUAGCGCCUCGUGAAUUCAUCUCCGGGGGUAGAGCACUGUUUCGGCAAGGGGGUCAUCCCGACUUACCAACCCGAUGCAAACUGCGAAUACCGGAGAAUGUUAUCACGGGAGACACACGGCGGGUGCUAACGUCCGUCGUGAAGAGGGAAACAACCCAGACCGCCAGCUAAGGUCCCAAAGUCAUGGUUAAGUGGGAAACGAUGUGGGAAGGCCCAGACAGCCAGGAUGUUGGCUUAGAAGCAGCCAUCAUUUAAAGAAAGCGUAAUAGCUCACUGGUCGAGUCGGCCUGCGCGGAAGAUGUAACGGGGCUAAACCAUGCACCGAAGCUGCGGCAGCGACGCUUAUGCGUUGUUGGGUAGGGGAGCGUUCUGUAAGCCUGUGAAGGUGUACUGUGAGGUAUGCUGGAGGUAUCAGAAGUGCGAAUGCUGACAUAAGUAACGAUAAAGCGGGUGAAAAGCCCGCUCGCCGGAAGACCAAGGGUUCCUGUCCAACGUUAAUCGGGGCAGGGUGAGUCGACCCCUAAGGCGAGGCCGAAAGGCGUAGUCGAUGGGAAACAGGUUAAUAUUCCUGUACUUGGUGUUACUGCGAAGGGGGGACGGAGAAGGCUAUGUUGGCCGGGCGACGGUUGUCCCGGUUUAAGCGUGUAGGCUGGUUUUCCAGGCAAAUCCGGAAAAUCAAGGCUGAGGCGUGAUGACGAGGCACUACGGUGCUGAAGCAACAAAUGCCCUGCUUCCAGGAAAAGCCUCUAAGCAUCAGGUAACAUCAAAUCGUACCCCAAACCGACACAGGUGGUCAGGUAGAGAAUACCAAGGCGCUUGAGAGAACUCGGGUGAAGGAACUAGGCAAAAUGGUGCCGUAACUUCGGGAGAAGGCACGCUGAUAUGUAGGUGAAGUCCCUCGCGGAUGGAGCUGAAAUCAGUCGAAGAUACCAGCUGGCUGCAACUGUUUAUUAAAAACACAGCACUGUGCAAACACGAAAGUGGACGUAUACGGUGUGACGCCUGCCCGGUGCCGGAAGGUUAAUUGAUGGGGUUAGCGCAAGCGAAGCUCUUGAUCGAAGCCCCGGUAAACGGCGGCCGUAACUAUAACGGUCCUAAGGUAGCGAAAUUCCUUGUCGGGUAAGUUCCGACCUGCACGAAUGGCGUAAUGAUGGCCAGGCUGUCUCCACCCGAGACUCAGUGAAAUUGAACUCGCUGUGAAGAUGCAGUGUACCCGCGGCAAGACGGAAAGACCCCGUGAACCUUUACUAUAGCUUGACACUGAACAUUGAGCCUUGAUGUGUAGGAUAGGUGGGAGGCUUUGAAGUGUGGACGCCAGUCUGCAUGGAGCCGACCUUGAAAUACCACCCUUUAAUGUUUGAUGUUCUAACGUGGACCCGUAAUCCGGGUUGCGGACAGUGUCUGGUGGGUAGUUUGACUGGGGCGGUCUCCUCCUAAAGAGUAACGGAGGAGCACGAAGGUUGGCUAAUCCUGGUCGGACAUCAGGAGGUUAGUGCAAUGGCAUAAGCCAGCUUGACUGCGAGCGUGACGGCGCGAGCAGGUGCGAAAGCAGGUCAUAGUGAUCCGGUGGUUCUGAAUGGAAGGGCCAUCGCUCAACGGAUAAAAGGUACUCCGGGGAUAACAGGCUGAUACCGCCCAAGAGUUCAUAUCGACGGCGGUGUUUGGCACCUCGAUGUCGGCUCAUCACAUCCUGGGGCUGAAGUAGGUCCCAAGGGUAUGGCUGUUCGCCAUUUAAAGUGGUACGCGAGCUGGGUUUAGAACGUCGUGAGACAGUUCGGUCCCUA
rnacentral:rRNA from 1 species